rnacentral:rRNA from 1 species
GAGGUCCCGCCUGCCCUGUGACAGUAUGUUUAACGGCCGCGGUAUUUUGACCGUGCGAAGGUAGCGCAAUCACUUGUCUCUUAAAUGGAGACCUGUAUGAAUGGCACGACGAGGGCUUAACUGUCUCCUUUUCCCAGUCAAUGAAAUUGAUCUUCCCGUGCAGAAGCGGGAAUUAUAACAUAAGACGAGAAGACCCUAUGGAGCUUUAGAUACAAGACAGAUCAUGUUAAACCCCUAACAAAGGAAUAAACUAAGUGACCCCUGUCCUAGUGUCUUUGGUUGGGGCGACCGCGGGGCAACAUAAAACCCCCAUGUGGACUGGGAGCACCCCUCCCAGAACCAAGAGCCACAGCUCUAGGUACCAGAACAUCUGACCAUCAAGAUCCGGCAAAGCCGAUCAACGAACCGAGUUACCCUAGGGAUAACAGCGCAAUCCCCUUCUAGAGCCCAUAUCGACAAGGGGGUUUACGACCUCGAUGUUGGAUCAGGACAUCCUAAUGGUGCAACCGCUAUUAAGGGUUCGUUUGUUCAACGAUUAAAGUCCUACGUGAUCU